CUGGUGGCGGGAGGCCCCAUGGCUCGAAAGCCAUUGGAGAUGGGCUGAUACGUUGUCCUCUCACUCUUCCGGAGAUAAAGGCGCGCCAGACGAGCUCGUGUCCUAAGAUAAGGCCUCGUCCACGGCCAGUCGAUCUCGCCAUCGAGGCUGCUCUUCAGAGAGAGAGAGCGACAACUCAUGCUGCUAUUCAGGAGCUUCAGGAGAGGGAGCGGGUGGUGGCGGAGAAGGUGGCUCGGUUUUUGGAGGAGGAGAGGGCACGGAAUGAGGCGGCUCACCGUGCCAUGUAGGAGCUCCUUGUGUCUAUGUGCGAGAAGACCGGUCA